AUCGCUUCUCGGCCUUUUGGCUCAGAUCAAGUGUAGUAUCUGUUCUUAUCAGUUUAAUAUCUGAUACGUCCCCCAUCGGGGGACU
rnacentral:snRNA from 8 species